rnacentral:rRNA from 1 species
CGACCGGCGCACGGGUGCGUAACGCGUAUGCAACCUACCCUGUACUGGGGGAAUAGCCCGGAGAAAUCCGGAUUAAUGCCCCAUAGUAUCAUUUUAUCUCCUGAUAAGAUGAUUAAAGGUUACGGUACAGGAUGGGCAUGCGUCCCAUUAGCUAGAUGGUAAGGUAACGGCUUACCAUGGCAACGAUGGGUAGGGGGCCUGAGAGGGUGAUCCCCCACACUGGUACUGAGACACGGACCAG